rnacentral:rRNA from 1 species
GUGUCAGCCGCCGCGGUAAUACGUAGGGUGCAAGCGUUGUCCGGAAUUAUUGGGCGUAAAGAGCUCGUAGGCGGUCUGUCGCGUCGGCUGUGAAAUCCCGAGGCUCAACCUCGGGUCUGCAGUCGAUACGGGCAAACUAGAGUAUUGCAGGGGAGACUGGAAUUCCUGGUGUAGCGGUGAAAUGCGCAGAUAUCAGGAGGAACACCGGUGGCGAAGGCGGGUCUCUGGGCAAUAACUGACGCUGAGGAGCGAAAGCGUGGGGAGCGAACAGGAUUAGAUACCCUAGUAGUCC